rnacentral:tRNA from 1 species
CAGGGAGACAACAAAAUGUUUAAUAUUAUUUUGUCACCUUAGGUCGAUCGGUAUCUCACAUUCUUAAUUAAUUAAGGAUUUCAUUUCCUAAGUUUUUCUAGGUCACACCCAUUAUUUUUCCUGGGCCAUUAGCUCAGGUGGUUAGAGCGCACCCCUGAUAAGGGUGAGGUCCCUGGUUCAAGUCCAGGAUGGCCCAUAUCUCUAUGUUGGGGGUAUAGCUCAGUUGGUAGAGCGCCUGCUUUGCAAGCAGGAUGUCAGCGGUUCGAGUCCGCUUACCUCCACUGAUUACCACCUCCUUCCAUAAUUUUUAUAGAAAGGAAAUUUUUUGAGUUGUGAUCAAAUUCUGAACGAAUCUAGCUUCCUAAUGUAAACAUUAAGAUGCUGGACUCAUUGAAUUAAUUUCAUUGUUUUCAGAGAACCUUGACAACUGCAUAGAUUAUUUUAAAGACAAUAAGCAUCUUUAAUGAUGCAGAUUUAUUAUUUGUGCGAAUGCAUUAAUAACAAUUCUAUUAAGCUGAUGCUUCAAUUAUUGAAGUUAUU